rfam:Amycolatopsis mediterranei S699, complete genome.
CCGGCGCCGGUUCACCCCGUGGAACGACUGGGGACCCGGAGCC